GACGAACGCUGGCGGCGUGCUUAACACAUGCAAGUUGAACGGAAAGGCCCUGCUUUUGUGGGGUGCUCGAGUGGCGAACGGGUGAGUAACACGUGAGUAACCUGCCCUUGACUUUGGGAUAACUUCAGGAAACUGGGGCUAAUACCGGAUAGGAGCUCCUGCUGCAUGGUGGGGGUUGGAAAGUUUCGGCGGUUGGGGAUGGACUCGCGGCUUAUCAGCUUGUUGGUGGGGUAGUGGCUUACCAAGGCUUUGACGGGUAGCCGGCCUGAGAGGGUGACCGGCAACAUUGGGACUGAGAUACGGCCCAGACUCCUACGGGAGGCAGCAGUGGGGAAUAUUGCACAAUGGGCGGAAGCCUGAUGCAGCAACGCCGCGUGCGGGAUGACGGCCUUCGGGUUGUAAACCGCUUUCGCCUGUGACGAAGCGUGAGUGACGGUAAUGGGUAAAGAAGCACCGGCUAACUACGUG
rnacentral:rRNA from 1 species